UACGGAGGGUGCAAGCGUUAUCCGGAUUCACUGGGUUUAAAGGGUGUGUAGGCGGGUAUUUAAGUCAGUGGUGAAAUCUCCGAGCUCAACUCGGAAACUGCCAUUGAUACUAUUUAUCUUGAAUAUUGUUGAGGUAGGCGGAAUAUGUCAUGUAGCGGUGAAAUGCUUAGAUAUGACAUAGAACACCGAUUGCGAAGGCAGCUUGCUAAACAAUUAUUGACGCUGAGGCACGAAAGCGUGGGGAUCAAACAGGAUUAGAUACCCCUGUAGUCC
rnacentral:rRNA from 1 species